rnacentral:misc_RNA from 1 species
GCAAUCCUUUCACAAAAAGCUGCUGGCAUCCUAGAGUUGCAGAACCAGUUAGCUCAUUUUCAAAGACGUCUAAAGGAGCACAAUGUACUUGUAUCUUCUGGCAACUGAAGCUCUAAUUCAGUAUGCAUACAAAUUUCAGAUGUUGUGCACAUUUGCUUUGGGGACGAGGUGUUGUUGUAGAUCCACUAAUGGACCCAUAGGUGUUGGUGUAGAAAAAACACGUGGCUUG